GGUAUUCCGUGGGGAGCGGUAAAAUGUGAUAAUCCUCGGAAGAUCGCCUAUGGCGAAGGCAUUUGACUAGAACGGAUCUGACGGUCAGGGACGAAGGCCAGGGGAGCGAUCCGGAUUAGAUACCCGAGUAGUCCUGGCAGUAAACGCUGCGAGCAAGAUGUUGCCCACCUUAAGAGGGUGUGCAGUAUCGAAAGGAAGCUGUUAAGCUCGUCGCCUGGGAAGUACGGUCGCAAGACUGAAACUUUAAGGAAUUGGCGGGGGAGCGCCACCAGGGGUGCGGCGUGCGGUUUAAUCUAACUCAACACAGAGAACCUUACUAGAAGCGACGGCAGGAAGAAAGUCAGUCUGAAGGGCUUACUCGACGAGCCGAGAGGUAGUGCAUGGCCGCCGUCAGCUCGUGCCGUAAGGUGUCCAGUUAAGUCUGGUAACGAGCGAGACCUAUGCCCUCUAUUGCUAACGGCUAUUUAUAGGACCGAGCACUUUGAGGGGACUGCCUUGGAAACGAGGAGGAAGGUGUAGGCAACGGUAGGUCUGUAUGCUCCGAAUCUUCUAGGCUACACGCGCGCAACAAUGGCAGUGACAAUGGGCUGCGACUCCGAAAGGAGAAGCUAAUCCUUGAAACGCUGUCUCAGUUCUAAUUGUGGGUUGAAACUCACCCACAUGCAGCC
rnacentral:rRNA from 1 species